rnacentral:rRNA from 1 species
UACGUAGGGGGCUAGCGUUGUCCGGAAUUACUGGGCGUAAAGGGCGCGUAGGCGGUGUGUCAAGUCAGGCGUGAAAGCCCCGGGCUCAACCUGGGAACCGCGCUUGAGACUGGCACGCUCGAGUUCGGGAGAGGAUGGUGGAAUUCCCAGUGUAGAGGUGAAAUUCGUAGAUAUUGGGAAGAACACCGAUGGCGAAGGCAGCCAUCUGGACCGACACUGACGCUGAGGCGCGAAAGCGUGGGGAGCAAACAGG